rnacentral:rRNA from 1 species
GCCCGGGGACUACGAGCAUUAGCUUAAAACCCAAAGGACUUGGCGGUGCUUAAUAACCCCCUAGAGGAGCCUGUUCUAGAACCGAUAACCCUCGUUCAACCUCACCCUUCCUGGCCAACCCCGCCUAUAUACCGCCGUCGUCAGCUUACCCUGUGAAGGUCUCAUAGUAAGCACAAUUAGUAAAACCCAAAACGUCAGGUCGAGGUGUAGCAUAUGGAAGGGGAAGAAAUGGGCUACAUUUCCUGUUUUCAGGACAUUACGAAAAGCGUGAUGAAAUUUACGCUAGAAGGAGGAUUUAGUAGUAAGUGGGGAGCAGAGUGCCCCCCUGAAACCGGCCCUUAAGCGCGCACACACCGCCCGUCCACUCUC